UACGAAGGGGGCUAGCGUUGUUCGGAAUCAUUGGGCGUAAAGAGCGUGUAGGCGGCUCGAUAAGUCUGCUGUGAAAGUCCAGGGCUCAACCCUGGAAGGCCGGUGGAAACUGUCGGGCUAGAGUCCGGAAGAGGCGAGUGGAAUUCCCGGUGUAGCGGUGAAAUGCGCAGAUAUCGGGAGGAACACCAAUGGCGAAGGCAGCUCGCUGGGACGGUACUGACGCUGAGACGCGAAAGCGUGGGGAGCAAACAGG
rnacentral:rRNA from 1 species